UAUUAAGUUGAUGCAAAAGUAAUUGCAGUUUUUGCCAUUGAAAGUAAUGGCAAAAAUCGCAAUUACUUUUGCAUCAACCUAAUA
rnacentral:pre_miRNA from 1 species